UGGGGAAUAUUGCACAAUGGGCGCAAGCCUGAUGCAGCCAUGCCGCGUGUGUGAAGAAGGCCUUCGGGUUGUAAAGCACUUUCAGCGGGGAGGAAGGCGUUAAGGUUAAUAACCUUGGCGAUUGACGUUACCCGCAGAAGAAGCACCGGCUAACUCCGUGCCAGCAGCCGCGGUAAUACGGAGGGUGCAAGCGUUAAUCGGAAUUACUGGGCGUAAAGCGCACGCAGGCGGUUUGUUAAGUCAGAUGUGAAAUCCCCGGGCUCAACCUGGGAACUGCAUCUGAUACUGGCAAGCUUGAGUCUCGUAGAGGGGGGUAGAAUUCCAGGUGUAGCGGUUAAAUGCGUAGAGCUCUGGUGGAAUACCGGUCGCGAAGGCGGCCCCCUGGACGAAGACUGACGCUCAGGUGCGAAAGCGUGGGGAGCAAACAGG
rnacentral:rRNA from 1 species